rnacentral:rRNA from 1 species
ACUCCUACGGGAGGCAGCAGUGGGGAAUUUUGGACAAUGGGGGCAACCCUGAUCCAGCAAUGCCGCGUGAGUGAAGAAGGCCUUCGGGUUGUAAAGCUCUUUUGUCAGGGAAGAAAUCGUGGACUCUAACAUAGUCUGCGGAUGACGGUACCUGAAGAAUAAGCACCGGCUAACUACGUGCCAGCAGCCGCGGUAAUACGUAGGGUGCAAGCGUUAAUCGGAAUUACUGGGCGUAAAGCGUGCGCAGGCGGUUUUGUAAGUCUGAUGUGAAAUCCCCGGGCUUAACCUGGGAACUGCAUUG